UACGUAGGGGGCUAGCGUUGUCCGGAUUUAUUGGGCGUAAAGAGCGUGUAGGCGGCCAGAUAGGUCUGCUGUGAAAACUCGAGGCUCAACCUCGAGAUGUCGGCGGAAACCAUUUGGCUAGAGUCCGGAAGAGGAAAGUGGAAUUCCUGGUGUAGCGGUGAAAUGCGUAGAUAUCCGGAGGAACACCGGUGGCGAAGGCGGCUUCCUGGACCGACACUGACGCUGAGGCGCGAAAGCCAGGGGAGCAAACGGG
rnacentral:rRNA from 1 species